CACGUAGGGGGCAAGCGUUGUCCGGAUUUAUUGGGCGUAAAGAGCUCGUAGGCGGCUCAGUUAGUCGGGUGUGAAACCCCCGGGCUCAACCCGGGGACGCCACCCGAUACUGCUGUGGCUAGAGUCCGGUAGGGGAGCGUGGAAUUCCUGGUGUAGCGGUGAAAUGCGCAGAUAUCAGGAGGAACACCAGCGGCGAAGGCAGCUCGCUGGGACGUGACUGACGCUGAGACGCGAAAGCGUGGGGAGCAAACAGG
rnacentral:rRNA from 1 species